rnacentral:rRNA from 1 species
AGCGAACGCUGGCGGCGUGCUUAACACAUGCAAGUCGAGGGAGAACGGUUGGCUUCGGCCUUCCUAGUAAACCGGCGCACGGGUGAGUAACACGUAGGUAACCUACCUUCGAGACUGGGAUAACCCAUCGAAAGAUGAGCUAAUACCAGAUAUGACCACGGGAGUUUCGGCUUCCGCGGUGAAAGAUGGCCUCUGCUUGCAAGCUAUUACUCGAGGAUGGGCCUGCGCGCCAUUAGCUAGUUGGUGGGGUAACGGCCCACCAAGGCUACGAUGGCUAGUUGGUCUGAGAGGAUGACCAGCCACACUGGGACUGAGACACGGCCCAGACUCCUACGGGAGGCAGCAGU